rnacentral:rRNA from 1 species
UUCAGCCAUCAGCAUGUUGAAUGCACCGGUUCCCCAUGGAUCACUGAAUUUAAGCAACAUUGCACGUGGUUGGUAUCUGGAUGGCUGACUUUGAGAAGAAAAAAAUACUCGUUUGUUGAAU